UGACCGCUGGCGGCGUGCCUAAUACAUGCACGUCGAGCGAACAGACGCGGAGCUUGCUCCUCUGACGUUAGCGGCGGACGGGUGAGUAACACGUGGAUAACCUACCUAUAAGACUGGGAUAACUUCGGGAAACCGGAGCUAAUACCGGAUAAUAUAUUGAACCGCAUGGUUCAAUAGUGAAAGACGGUUUUGCUGUCACUUAUAGAUGGAUCCGCGCCGCAUUAGCUAGUUGGUAAGGUAACGGCUUACCAAGGCAACGAUGCGUAGCCGACCUGAGAGGGUGAUCGGCCACACUGGAACUGAGACACGGUCCAGACUCCUACGGGAGGCAGCAGUAGGGAAUCUUCCGCAAUGGGCGAAAGCCUGACGGAGCAACGCCGCGUGAGUGAUGAGGGUCUUCGGAUCGUAAAACUCUGUUAUUAGGGAAGAACAAAUGUGUAAGUAACUAUGCACGUCUUGACGGUACCUAAUCAGAAAGCCACGGCUAACUACGUG
rnacentral:rRNA from 1 species